AACGCACAUUGCGCCCCCUGGCAUUCCGGAGGGCAUGCCUGUCCGAGCGUCAUUACAACCUUCAAGCUCUGCUUGGUCAUGGGUGCCAUCUCCGGCAGAUGCGCCUGGAAAUUAGCGGCUGUGCUGACCCGUCCCCGAGCGCAUUAAAUUAAAACUCGCUACGGAUUGGAUGGGUGAAGCCCAGGCCGACAAGACGACGGUGUCUGCGGACACUCGACCAAUUGACCUCGGAUCAGGUAGGAAUACCCGCUGAACUUAA
rnacentral:misc_RNA from 1 species